GUCCGGGUAGCUCAGUUGGUUAGAGUGUUGUCCUGAAAUGCCAAGGUUGCAGGUAUGAACCCUGGUCAGGGCA
rfam:Myotis lucifugus cont2.17433, whole genome shotgun sequence.